CUACUACUCCCUCCGUCCCGAAUUAGUUGUCUUAGAUUUGUCUAGAUACGGAUGUAUCUAGACACGUUUUACUGUGUCAGGUACAUCCGUAUCUGACAAAUUUAAGACAACUAAUUUGGGACGGAGGUAAUUAUUUU
rfam:Triticum aestivum genome assembly, contig: Triticum_aestivum_CS42_TGACv1_scaffold_641296_T_7BL-0.187282_6AS-0.134824